GGCUCAGUGGUCUAGGGGUAUGAUUCUCGCUUCGGGUGCGAGAGGUCCCCGGUUCAAAUCCCGGCUGAGCCC
rnacentral:tRNA from 1 species